AAGCUAUCUUGAACGUGAUGAAUUUUGGCGGGAAAUCUUGAGGCGGAUUCUCGCGAACGGUUCGAUCGUGACGUCAUACUCCCUAGACUCUGAAAUUCAAACCGUUCAACACAAUUAGCGCGUAGUCAUACACUUUGAAUUAGAGGUUCUGCAUAUACUUGCUUUAUUCUUUUAUGUAUGGACACACAAAACGACAAUUAUUAUCAACCAAUUGUGUGAAUAUGACGAAAGCGCUACGUCAUUAUGACGUCACGUCCUCAAGCAGGCUUCAGACCCGCGCAAAAUCGCCUUCAGUUCGACUCGCAGCGUUGAGUCGGAAAGUCGACACUGAACACCGAGCACACGCUGCCGCCUGUGAGCCGCGUUGUCGCGAUGGCGGAAGACAUAGAGCAAGUCUUCACGGCGGAAGAAUGGCAGUCCUUCCCGGAGAUCGAGAAGAAGCGCUUCGAGAAUAUUCUCAGAAAAUACAAAAUGAUGGAAGAGUUGGGGGAAGCGAGCUUAUGUGCUGGUACGGAGACGGUUACGGGAAGGAUCUAGGCCUGUCAAGAGAGCCGUCCAAGUGGAAACUUGCAGAGAAGGAUUUUAAAGGUAUGCAGAUCGCCAGUGUGAAUGGUGCAGCAUAGUAUACAGCUUUAAAGACUACUUAAUGCGUCACCUAAACGUGUGCAGAAAGCGCAUUCACACUGACACAGCAUUGGCAUGCGCCACGCGAGGAAGCACUGGCACACCU
rnacentral:lncRNA from 1 species